GGGGAUUUAGCUCAGUGGUAGAGCGCUUGCCUAGCAAGCGCAAGGCCCUGGGUUCUGGGUUCGGUCCCCAGCUCCG
rfam:Rattus norvegicus chromosome 12, whole genome shotgun sequence.